UGAACUAAACUAAGAAGGUAUUUUCAUUGUGCUCCUUUACUGGAUUCCAGCUACUAAAAUAUUUCAUGAGACUAAGCAGCUUUAAUAUUAUUUUUACAUAGUUAUUUAAUUCACAAAUUGCAAUCCUUGGUUACAGGUUUCCACAUCUACGAUCGAGAUGAACUUGUAUUGCUGGUUCAGUGAGUGGAAUCUGCAACUCCAGCUGCUCGUGUGAAAUCUUGGCUUCUCUCUCCAGAAGAUUCAAGUCCAGCAUUCGAAUGGAAGGACAGAAGUCAUGUAAUGGGCGGAAUUGUCAUCAUGAGGUGGGGAACAGAACCAAGGAUCUCUGGAAAAAUGUGGAUUUGAGACAUUACCCAAGGGAAUUAAAGAGAGGAUUUUGCCAAUAUCCCAGAAUCUAAAGUAAACAAGCAUCAUCUGAUGCUGGUACCAACCCAACAAAACACAGGUUCUACCUGACAUACUGAGUACCUCCAGCAUUUAUUCUCAUUUGAGCGUCCAG